GGGCUUCCUUAUGCUUCACAUUCAUAUUUCUUGAAUGAUUGCAUCUAUACAACAAUUUUAAUUGUCAUCACUCUCUCAUACGGGAGCCUCUCAAGCGGGAGCCUUGUCUAUGUGUGUGUUUGUUUUGCUGUACAGUAAUUUUUGGAUAACAUAGAUAGAGGUUACAAGAUACAGAUGUAGCAAGUCCUUUAUAACUGUUUGGACCGAGGAAGGUUGGUGAGCACAUUAGAUAUUCAUAUGUUGACUUUGUUUUUAAGUCCUAGAAUUUGCAGCGUACAAUCAGCCUCAAUUACCGUUUCUUCAAAGAGGUUUGACCACAUAUGUAUGCUCUGCUCCACCUUGCCCUCUACAAUGAAAAAUAUGGUGCUAAGCAGAUGGGUUAACACCUAUAGUAAAGACGACCUAGGCUAGAGCCAUGGCCACUGUCAUAGCCUCACAUACGAUAUGCAACGUGCGGAAGAAACAAAA
rnacentral:lncRNA from 1 species